UACAGAGGGGGCAAGCGUUAUUCGGAAUUAUUGGGCGUAAAGAGCUCGUAGGCGGCCUGUCGCGUCGGAUGUGAAAGCCCGGGGCUUAACCCCGGGUCUGCAUUCGAUACGGGCAGGCUAGAGUGUGGUAGGGGAGAUCGGAAUUCCUGGUGUAGCGGUGAAAUGCGCAGAUAUCAGGAGGAACACCGGUGGCGAAGGCGGAUCUCUGGGCCAUUACUGACGCUGAGGAGCGAAAGCGUGGGGAGCGAACAGG
rnacentral:rRNA from 1 species